GCCUAGCUAGACAAUCUUUUUUUGGAGGGUCUUCUUAGGGCCUCUUGAAUCUUCAUCAUUGUCAUGAUUUAUCAAUUGCAGGUUAAGAACAGGCAUGAUGUAGGGAGUAGGUAAGAUGGGUUUAUCAAGUCGAUCGGCUAUAAUAAUUUAGUGCUAGCUUCUUCCCACUAUCUUUAUUAAAAUGGAAAUCAAGUUAUUUCAACUACAUAUAUAAUUUUCAUUAAAUGAAAUCAAAAUAAAUAAAUAAAAAACCCGUGAACUCAAAAUUUUUCCUGGCCAUGCUCCAGCAUGUGAUUAUAUAAAAAGAAAAAUGAUAGAAUAAUAAUGAUAGAGAUGAUUAGAGAGGCAGAGAGGAGGAACAAAAACUGUUGUUAAUGAAGGAAUAGAAGGUAGCUCAUUAGCAAGGUUGCCGAGGAGCAGGAACCAUAACUGUAACUUGGGUGGGGUCGACUGUGCCUUAUCUUAGAACUGGGGACUUCUGGGGCUGCAUUAAAUUCGAUUCCUUCUCUAUAGUCCCUAGUCUCGACGACGUUCGAGUACCCUUUGACUCGUGAAUCAAUGUUUCAACUACCAUUUUGUUCUUAGAAAAAAAGAUAAAAUAAUUCCCUAAACUUUAGUCGAUUCAUAUAAUUUCAAAAAUCUUUUUUUUCAAAUAUCUUCAAAGAUAUCUAUAUUAAUCUACUUUAUGCACUUUGGCAUUUGUUA
rnacentral:misc_RNA from 1 species